CAGUGAUUUUGGAGACGUUGAAAUUUUCAAAAAAUUGAGACUCAAAUAGAUGAUGCUAUUAAAGUAUGAAUUUUAUAAUACUUCAAGCAUAACUUAGGUACGUAAAGUCCAAAGUUAGAAGGCUUUAAAAUAUAACUUAGACCAAAAAUUUCUGAAGUUUUUUAAUAUUUCUUUAACUUGGUUUGAAGUUAUAAGGCGGUAACACAUAGGUCAAAAUGUUCUGAAAUUAUUUUCUCUAAGUCUCAAAGGAAAUGUGAGUCAUGUUUGAAAUCCAAAGCACCUAAAGGUCCUAAUGUACCUAAAGCACCUAGAACACGUAAAGCCCCUUCAAUGCCUGUUGCAGUACCUACAAAACCAAUGGAGAGAUAUUAUGAGUUUGGAGAUUGAUUUAAUGCCCGUGCUUACCGGAAGGGGAACCACAAUUUGAAGGGUUUAAUUUCAAAUUUCUUGACUCCUGCACAACGGGAGAAGCUGAGUAAUGAUACAUUUCAGUAUAUCAUGAUUGUGGAGAAUUGCCAUUAGUAGCAUGAAGUUGGUUCAUUGUUUGAUCCUUUCUCGCGUGUUCACCAAUGACCGAAAUUCAAUUAGUUUCAAGAUUUUUGGCCAUGAAGUGUCGUUCAGCCUUGAGGAUUUUCACAUUAUGAGCGUUUUGAGGAUCACAACACAUAAUAUUGAAAAACCAAUUAAACAACAUAGUAAGAUUCCGAAGCACUAUCUUGGGAAGUCUAAGGGCGUGAUGUUGAAGGACAUUCGAGAGUAUAUGAUACAUAAUGAAUUCUAACAGGAUGAUGUGAAUUUCAAACAUGUAUGUGAGAGAGAUGAAGAUGUAGUGAAGCUUAGAAGAAAACAUGAAUCAAUUCUGUUGGAGGAGUAUACAGCUAUUGUUGAAGACGAACAAGCUUGUGCUAAUUAUCCUUGGAGCAAUGCGUCUUAUGAGAAGCUGAUAACUUCAAUGAAACAUGUUUUGGACAACAAGAACAAAAAUAAUGCAAUGACUAUAGUGUAGGGGGGAUUUCCAUAUCCAUUGUGUGUUUGGUUCUAUGAGCGCUUCCCAGAUAUUCGGGAUAAAUAUUUGAAUGCGGACGAAUACAGUCAUGUCCCUAAGAUCCCCAGGAUGUUACGUUAUCCAUUCUCGGGGGAGCCAAAAUUAGGGAACUUCAUGAGCAUUACUUCAGUAAUUAUGCAACAUUUAUGGUAUUGGAGAUAAUUCCUACCGAAGAAGAAGUGAAUUUAGUGCCUUUAAUUGGACAAGUACCAUGCAACCGUAGUUGUUCGAAGGGAGUGAAUUUGGUUCCUUUAACUGGUGAAUCAACACGUAGUCGGAGUCGAUGAAAAGAAAUGAAUCCAACUUCUUUAAUUGGAGAAUCACCUCGUAUCCAGAGUCGCUCGAAACAUUCUGCAACGACGUCUGAUGAUGAAUUAGUUAACACAAUAUGUGAUGAUAAUGAGGGAAUUUAAAAAGAAUGCAAAGGAAGAAAGACGCAUGAUCACGAAAGAAAUUGUUCAAGAGUUUCGAGCAAACGAGCGAUCUGUUGUUGUGGAAGAGGUUGUGAAAAAAGUCAAGGAAUAUUUUGAUUCAAAGCUUGAAAAGUUGUUUGAGAUUGUCGACAAGUCAAAAGGAAGACAUGAUGGUGAUGAAGAUUUUGAAUUCAUGAACUAUCGACAAUAUAAUAGGAUGAACGAGUCUUUCGAACUUCAACCUGAUAUGAAUUCUUCUCUUGAUGAACUGCAUAUAGUACAGAUGAAAAUGCCAGAGGUGUGUCACGACCGAAAAUCCACUAGUCGUGAUGGCACCUAACCUAACCCGCUAGG